rnacentral:rRNA from 1 species
UACGGAGGGUGCAAACGUUGCUCGGAAUUAUUGGGCGUAAAGCGCGCGUAGGCGGCCUAGCAAGUUGGGUGUGAAAGCCCGGGGCUCAACCCCGGAAGUGCAUCCAAAACUGCGAGGCUUGAGUCCCGGAGGGGCCCAGAGAAUUCCCGGUGUAGAGGUGAAAUUCGUAGAUAUCGGGAGGAAUACCAGUGGCGAAGGCGCUGGGCUGGACGGGUACUGACGCUGAGGUGCGAAAGCGUGGGGAGCAAACAGGAUUAGAUACCCUCGUA